GGUGACAACUCAUCAGUCUGAGCACGCAUUCACUAAUAAGUGAAGCAAGCAUGUGAGAAAGGUGACAGAAUGUUCUCAUUUUAGGGCCUCAUACACAGGCUAUGACGACACAUACGACUGUUAGAAAACCUUUAGAAAGUGAAUUUAGCAUAAU